ensembl:snRNA U2 U2 spliceosomal RNA
AUCAUUUCUGAGACUUUAGUUAAGAAUACGUGUCAUAUCUGUUCUUAUCACUUUAAUACCUCCUAUAUCCUCUACUUGGGGACAAAGAGUUGAAAGACUUUUUGGAGACAUGAGAUGCAAUAAGAGUAUGCUCUUUCUACUUCACAUAUCACCUGGUCUUGCAGGCCUUCAGGAAAUAAGAAUGUAUU